GUGCCAUCUUGGGUGGAACCUGUGGGGCAUUAGCUUGUUUUGCAGGGGAAAUUCAUCGUUUACUGUGAAAAAAUUAGAGUGUUCAAAGCAGGCUUAUGCCAAUGAAUAUGCUAGCAUGGAAUAAUGAAAUAGGACUUUUGGUACUAUUUUGUUGGUUUGCGCGCCAAAGUAAUGAUUAAUAGGGACAGUUGGGGGUAUUCGUAUUCCGUAGUCAGAGGUGAAAUUCUUGGAUUUUUGGAAGACGAACUACUGCGAAAGCAUUUACCAAGGAUGUUUUCAUUAAUCAAGAAGGAAAGUUAGGGGAUCGAAGAUGAUUAGAUACCAUCGUAGUCUUAACCAUAAACUAUGCCAGUUAGGGAUUGGCAGGGUAUCGUUACGUCCCUGUCAGCACCUUAUGAGAAAUCAUUAAACUUUUGGGUCCGGGGGGAGAGGNGCAA
rnacentral:rRNA from 1 species